rnacentral:piRNA from 1 species
UAGGUAAGUCAAUGUUGAUUGAGUUGAAGC